GUUAAUUAUACGGUCGCGGGCCGCGAGAGCGGCGUGAGGAAAGUCCGAGCAUCGCAGGGCAAAGAUGCCUGCUAACGGCAGGAGGAGGCGACUUCAAGGAAAGUGAACAGAAAUACACCGCGGCAGUUUUGCCGUAAGGGUGGAAUGGCGAGGUAAGAGCUCACCGUCGCCCCGGUAACGGGGCGAGCCAAUUAAACCCCAUCUGAUGCAAGAUUGGGAUAAAGACUGCGUUAAAUCGCGGGGCUGCCCGUCCGUCUUUAUCCGUUAAUAUCGCUUUAACUUGCCGGCGACGGCAAGUAUAGAUAGAUGACCGUACACGACAGAACUCGGCUUACAGAUUAA
rnacentral:RNase_P_RNA from 2 species